UACGGAGGGUGCAAACGUUGCUCGGAAUCAUUGGGCGUAAAGCGCACGUAGGUGGCCUGUUAAGUCGGGUGUGAAAUCCCUGGGCUCAACCCAGGAAGUGCACUCGAAACUGGCAGGCUUGAGUACUGAAGAGGGUCGCGGAAUUCCCGGUGUAGAGGUGAAAUUCGUAGAUAUCGGGAGGAACACCAGUGGCGAAGGCGGCGACCUGGGCAGAUACUGACACUGAGGCACGAAGGUCAGGGGAGCAAACGGG
rnacentral:rRNA from 1 species